GAUGAAGAACGCAGCGAAAUGCGAUACUUGGAGUGAAUUGCAGAAUCCCGUGAACCAUCGAGUCUUUGAACGCAAGUUGCGCCCGAAGCCAUUAGGCCGAGGGCACGCCUGCCUGGGCGUCACACGUCGUUGCCCCCCCAUCUACUCCUUCGGGAUUGCGGGGGGCGGAUGAUGGCCUCCCGUGCGCCUCGUCGCGCGGUUGGCAUAAAUGCCAAGUCCUCGGCGACGCACGCCACGACAAUCGGUGGUUGCGAAACCUCGGUUGCCCGUCGUGUGCGGUCGUCGCGCAUCGAGGGCUCGAAAAAAUUGCCGGGCUCCGGCUCGGCUUUCAACGCGACCCCAGGUCAGGCGGGGUUACCCGCUGAAUUUAAGCAUAUCAAUAAGCGGAGGA
rnacentral:misc_RNA from 1 species